AAAAGAAGCAACAUUUCCUGGCCUUUGUGGGAGUGGAUUUGUAGUUUCCGAUAGAAGUCUGUGCUGACCGUUAACACUGGGUGUAGAAUUGUUCUGGUGAAAGUUCUCUUGUUGGCGAAGACCAGCACCUCCAUCAGGCUAACUCUGGUAACAGAGUGAGGAAUAAGCUCAAGACCCUGAAGACAGGCUCGUGGGUGAGCAAGUGGGAAAGAAAAGACCGAUUACAGCAAGUACAACAGCAGUAAAACAGAAGCUGAGGGGAUGGACUGUGGUGGAUUGACAACUGGUGGUCAACUUGUAACCCCCAGCGGAACAGAACUGGUGUGGUGCUGGGUGUGGGAGGCCCACCUGAGGAUUGUUGCUGGCAGCAGAAGAGGCAGAACUGGAGAGGAAGGAGUUUAGAAGCUGUUGUGAAGCUAUAGGGAGCUUUUGGUUUUCCUGCAGGAGCUUGUUGCACUGGCUUUCCUGAUGAGCUCGGCUGCUCUCAUCAUCGAAGGA